CCUACGGUAGGCAGCAGUGAGGAAUAUUGGUCAAUGGGCGGAAGCCUGAACCAGCCAAGUAGCGUGCGGGAUGAAGGCCCUACGGGUCGUAAACCGCUUUUGCACGGGGAUAACACCCUCCACUUGUGGAGGUCUGCAGGUACCGUGCGAAUAAGGGCCGGCUAAUUCCGUGCCAGCAGCCGCGGUAAUCCGUAAGGCCCGAGCGUUAUCCGGAUUCAUUGGGCUAAAAGGGAGCGUAGGCGGGCGUUCAAGUCAGCUGUAAAAUCGCGGGGCUAAACCGCGCCCCGCAGUUGAAACUGGAGGCCUUGAGUACAGAACAGGUAGGCGGAAUUCGUGGUGUAGCGGUGAAAUGCAUAGAUAUUAGGAGGAACCCCGAUUGCGAAGGCAGCCUGCCGGGGUGUGACUGACGCUGAGGCUCGAAGGUGUGGGUAGCAAACAGGAUUAGAUACCCGUGUAGUC
rnacentral:rRNA from 1 species